rnacentral:lncRNA from 1 species
UGAGAUAUUAAUGAAAAGUGAUCUUUUUCCUUAUGACUUCAGUGUAUUUUUACUUCCUGUCAAUACUUCAAUAUGAAUUCAUCUGGACAAAUGUACAAAAUCCCUUCAAGGAUUCAACUCAAAUUGUUAAUUAACAAUUAAGCAUGUCAUAUAACAGAUAUGGUGAGGUUAAAGGAUGAGGCAUUCCGAACCCAACACUUAGAAAAAAUUUAGGUAAUAAAAUAAAG